AGUGAACGCUGGCGGUAGGCCUAACACAUGCAAGUCGAACGGCAGCACAGUAAGAGCUUGCUCUUACGGGUGGCGAGUGGCGGACGGGUGAGGAAUACAUCGGAAUCUACUUUUUCGUGGGGGAUAACGUAGGGAAACUUACGCUAAUACCGCAUACGACCUACGGGUGAAAGCAGGGGAUCUUCGGACCUUGCGCGAUUGAAUGAGCCGAUGUCGGAUUAGCUAGUUGGCGGGGUAAAGGCCCACCAAGGCGACGAUCCGUAGCUGGUCUGAGAGGACGAUCAACCACACUGGAACUGAGACACGGUCCAGACUCCUACGGGAGGCAGCAGUGGGGAAUAUUGGACAAUGGGCGCAAGCCUGAUCCAGCCAUACCGCGUGGGUGAAGAAGGCCUUCGGGUUGUAAAGCCCUUUUGUUGGGAAAGAAAAGCAGCAGGUUAAUACCCCGCUGUUCUGACGGUACCCAAAGAAUAAGCACCGGCUAACUUCGUG
rnacentral:rRNA from 1 species